AUUUGAACGUGGGUCUUCUGCAAGAACUGUCAGUGUUCUUAACCUCUGAGCCAUCUCUCCAGCCUGAUUUUUCUAACAGCCUCAGGUGUCUACCAGAACAACCUAUUAAGUUCUAGUCCAAAGUUUCCAAAUCUUCCACAAUCUUCCAAAAAACCCACAUGAUAAGGUUCUUCACAGCAACAACUCACUCUCUGAGCUCGGACACCUACUGUUUCCUGCCCAUGGACAAAAGAUACCACUGCUUUAAUUCUCGGAUCUGGAUCUUUUCUCACUGGCUUCAGACUCUGACAGAAGAAAUGAAAAUCACUGGGAUUCCUGGUUAUGGAGACCUGGAACUCACCCUGAGUUAUACAACUAGCUUUUUGAUACUCCAGCUUGCUAAUGGCAAAUCAUAACACUCCUAAAUACAUCAGAUUGCUUUUUAAGCCCUCCCUCCCUCCCUCCCUUCCUUGUUCCCAGUCCUGGGGAUUGAGCUUGUGCAUGUAUUAUCACUGAGCUAUACCCCUAGACCAUGAGAUUGAUUUUUAAUAAUCAAAAGUGAUCAUAUAUAUGUGCAUAUGCAUAUAUAUCUGAUUUUAUCAUUGGGAUUUUGAAUUUCAUUUUCAUAGCCUAUGCAUGUCAGGACAUGCCUAAGUUAUCAAGCCCUCUAUAAAAGCCCCAGACCUGGGCUGGAGAGAUGGCUCAGCGGUUAAGAACACUGGUUGUUCUCGCAGAAGACCCAUGUUU